CUCUAGAUGAACGGACAUCCGAUAAAAUUGAAACGAUACAGAUAAGAUUAACAUGACCCUUGUACAAGAAUAAUACGUACAAAUCGAGAAAUGGAUGUCU